rnacentral:lncRNA from 1 species
UGGAUUGCGCAUGUAGUGUGUUUUAUCACGAAAUCAUGGGAAGAGAUGUCUAUGAUGUUAUUAAGUUUAUUCAUCCUGGUGUGAACUCGAAGGUCAUUGUAUAAUGGAUUUUCAUCCUAUUUCGUGGGUAGAAUGCUUUCUGUAAUCUGGUAUGAUAAUAUCUGGAACAUUCCGGCUAGUAUAUUACAGCGUUGACUUAGGUUUGAACGGAGAAUUGAGAACAUCAUCUGGAACCAGGAAGGAUGAUACGGUUGUUUGGCAUCUGCGAAUGAUGUCAAUCUUACUUUGUCCAUGAGUUUCAUUAUCAUGUUCCUCCUUAGCCUUCUUUCCUUAUUAGGCAGAUUACUCAUGAUCAAAAGCCCUCCUGCCAAAGCGUGAAUUUAAAUAUUUAUAUAUUAUUAUUAUUAUCAUAUUAUAAAUGAAUUAUCAAUUAAUUGUAUAUAGAAAAGGUUGUAAAAUUAUCGUUUUCCUGUAGAAAAAAAAAUGGUUAUCACGACAUCCUUUUUCUGAAUGCAUGUGAUACGACUGUUACAUUUUAUGGAUGCUAAAGUUUUGUUUAACUUAACAAUGAGACAAAACUAGGUUUUUGCAUAGGUUUUUAUAUACCCUAUAAUGCUAAUAAACUUAAUCGUGUUAAAUUACUUUUUUUUUUUUCAUGUUUCAUUAUACUACGAUUAGAGUUCAAAGAUGAAUAAAAAUAGUAUAAAUAAUAUAUUUUUCAUUUUGGAAUCAAGGUAAUAAUAAUAAUAAUAAAUAGAUAAAUAAAUAUUAAUUUUGAAUGGAAAAAUAGCUUAAUAUUGUGAUGAGAGGAGGAGGAGUUUAGAUGUACCUAUUUUCACGUGAUGUCUGACCUAUGUGCUCAGACAUCUGCAUCCUCUUCUUCUCACCUGUUCUCUCUCUUUUAAAACGCAAAAACUCCAUUCCUAGUAGCCAAGCGGAGCGUAUCAAAUGGACAAAUCCCUAAUUCCUUUAUCAACACACCAAAAACUUCAUACACUCUUCGACAACCUGUUCUGAGGUUGCUCCAACAAUGUCGAACGCAAACCAUCCAUUCCCAUUACUGUUACUGCUUCUGCUCCUGCC